rnacentral:rRNA from 1 species
AGAUACUAACUCGUGACUGGAGUUCAGACGUGUGCUCUUCCGAUCUCGCUGAAGUGAAACAUCUCAGUAAGCGGAGGAAAAGAAAGAGAAAUCGAUUCCGUAAGUAGUGGCGAGCGAAAGCGGAUGGAGCCCAAACCGAAGGUAUUCCUUCGGGGUUGUAGGACCACGUCAUAUUCGACCAUACUGGAUAGUAGAACAGCCUGGAAAGGCUGGCCGGAGAAGGUGAAAGCCCUGUAGACGAAAUCCAGAGUGGGAAUUAGUGGUAUCCUGAGUAAUACAUCACACGUGGAACGAUGUAUGAACCCGCGCGGACCACCGCGCAAGGCUAAAUACUAGUUGGCGACCGAUAGUGAACAAGUACCGCGAGGGAAAGGUGAAAAGAACCGCUGUGAGCGGAGUGAAAUAGAACCUGAAACCGUAUGUCUACAAAGUGUCAGAGCAGAGCAAUCUGCGAUGGCGUGCCUUUUGUUUAAUGAGUCUGCGAGUCAGUGUUUGUGGCAAGACUAAGGGCUUCCGGCCCGGAGUCGCAGCGAAAGCAAGUCCGAACAGGGCGCAAUAAGUCGCAGGUACUGGACCCGAAGCGGAGGUGACCUACCCUUGGCCAGGUUGAAGCAUGGGUAAAACCAUGUGGAGGACCGAACAGGUGAACGUUGAAAAGUUCUCUGAUGAGCUGAGGGUAGGAGUGAAAGGCUAAUCAAACCCCGUGAUAGCUGGUUCUCUUCGAAAUGCAUUUAGGUGCAGCGUCACGUGCUGAUGCGCGGGGGUAGAGCACUGACAAGGCUAGGGGGCACACCCGCUUACCAAACCUUAUCAAACUCCGAAUACCGUGCAAUGGAACGUGGCAGUGAGACAGUGGGGGAUAAGCUUCAUUGUCGAGAGGGAAACAACCCAGACCAGCAGCUAAGGUGCCUAAAUAACGCUCAGUGGAAAGGAUGUGGGAUUACACAGACAGUGAGGAUGUUGGCUUAGAAGCAGCCACCAUUUAAAAAAUGCGUAAUAGCUUACUCAUCGAGUGAUCCUGCGCCGAAAAUGAUUGGCGAUCAAGCGUUAUACCGAAGCUCUGGACUUUGCCGCAAGGCAGAGUGGUAGAAGAGCGUUGCAUGCGCGUCGAAGGGCGAUGGCGACUGACCCUGGAGCACAUGCAAGUGAGUAUGCAGACAUGAGUAACGUUAAGCCGGGUGAAAUCCCCGGCCGCCGUAAACCCGAGGUUUCCAGGGCAACGUGUUUCGUCCCUGGGUUAGCCGGGACCUAAGCCGAGGCCGAGAGGCGUAGGCGAUGGACAUCAGGUUAAUAAUCCUGAGCUCGCAACCCUUAAACUGGGGGGACGCAUGAGAAAAGAUGACUAGGUUAUUGAAUUCCGAGUUGAGUCCACGGACUCAGCGCAUCAUUGGAUCGAGUGCCAAGAAAAGCCCCAGCGUAUGCUAAGCGACCCGUACCGCAAACCGACACAGGUGGGUGGGUAGAAUAUACCAAGGCGUAAGAGUGAAACCUGGUUAAGGAACUCGGCAAAUUAGCCCCGUAACUUCGGAAGAAGGGGUGCCUGCAGCGAUGCAGGCCGCAGAGAAAUGGCCCAACCGACUGUUUAUCAAAAACACAGCACUCUGCAAAGACGCAAGUCGAAGUAUAGGGUGUGACACGUGACCAAUGCCGAAAGAUUAAGGCAAGGGGUUAGCCGCAAGGCGAAGCUCUAAACCCAAGUCCCGGUGAAUGUCGGCCGUAACUAUAACGGUCCUAAGGUAGCGAAAUUCCUUGUC